rnacentral:lncRNA from 1 species
UAUUCGAUGGUUUCUCACCGGUAUCGGCUGUCUCUUACUUAGGUAUGACUCUCACUUGUUUUUCCCCUCUACUCACUCAGAUUUCACUCGAUUAUGCUUGCAUCACCACUCCUCAAUCACUCUCCACUAUCGAUUUGAAUCUGCUCAAACCCUAAUGGCUCGAUGGGCACAAUAAAUAGGGCUUUCAAUGCUCUCACUAACCAGACCAAACACACAAUAAGAUAUACCUACCAACUAUACCUAGCAUCUGAGAAUUUAAUAGUUGUUUGAAAUUUUUUGAUAAAAGUCGAAGUUCUUGGUCAGUUUUUGCUUUUUCCUUUUCUCUCAGAUUCUGAGUGUGAUACUGAUCGAGAGCUUGAGAUCUUGGUUUCAUAAAGGCUAAUUUGGACACUCGUUUGGAUUACUGCCCCAAAGGAGGUCAGUUAAACCUAGACCAUGUUCUUCUUUCACUAGUUUAAAUUCCUGAAUAUGAAUUAUUUUACUAUUUUCAUUGAAUGAGGUUAUUAACAAUGUGAUUCAUUUUUUUUUAUCUAUUUCUUGUUCUUAUUUAUGACUGUUAAGUAGAUUCUGCAACCAUAAACUUCUUUAAAUUAUUGAAUACUGAUAUUGCUGUGCAUAUGAUGAUUCAUGUCUACUGUUAACUUCGAAACGACUAAAUAACUUCUUAAUAUUCUUAAUAUCAAGUUUCAAAUCUCUCUAAUAUUCUAGUAGCUCUGUUAUGACUGUUAUGCUAAUCUGUCUUGUUCAUAUCAUUUGCAUUUUUAAUGGUUCAUUCAAUAACCUACACUCAAAUAGAGUGUGAUCCUAUUUAGUGUGGAGAAUCAAAUUGUUACCAUGGUAUUGAUGCAUUGACUUAUGACUCUUGAACCUUUUCUUACCUCUUUAAUAUAUCUCUAUUGUUUUGUAUUUUCUUGGUUACACUCCUGACUGUUUAUUUAAAUCUAUCUUAAGCUAGUUGGAUCUCUGUAUCAAUUUUAAGCGUGAAGUAUGGGAUAAGAUGUAUUCAAGUCAUGAUGACACAUUUGUUUAGCUAAAAUAUUGCUGCUAAGUUCCAUUAUACCAGAAACCCUAUCCCCGACAUGCUUAACAUGUUUCCCCAAUGUGGUGAUAACUUUAUUUUUUUUCUUGAAGGCUCACGUGGUGACACCGUUCAUAAUACUUUCAUAUAUGAACUCUGCUACGUGUCUUUUGUUGUGUUCUUGCGAUUCUGCACUCAUUCUUGUUCUUCAGUGCCUCUGUUUAUCCUUCAUGAUUAUAUACAUGCCAACAUUGUCUUGAAACUUUACUAAGUUCUCUUAAGUAUGCUAGACUCAACUUAUGAACUCCAAAGAAACACUUUGUUGCUACUACUUGGAUAUAACUGUCUGCUUUAUUUUAAUGAAGUUAGUUUGAAGUCAAAACUCUCAAAAGUGGUCAUGUCAUUAAUUCUUAAGGUUCAGUAGGCCUGAUAAUUUUGAAAUCCCAUUAAGUACUCUUAGGAGCUCCAAAUGGAUUUACGAAUUUAUGGCCUUGCUGAUAUCUUUAGAAGUUUUAACCAUAGUUGCUAAUUUAUGAUCAUGUUAAGUGAUGUUCUAAAAUAAAAUCUGUGA